GGUCUUUGUAGUUAAAUUAAGCUGUUGAAUUCUAGAGACACCUACUGUGUUCUAGGCCAAGUUUUGAGACACUGUGUGAUUUAGCAACAUUCUUGUUUUUCAGCAUUGCGUACAUUUCUGUGUUUUCUUUCUUCAUCAACAGAUUCUAUGGACAAUGCUAUUUUAGGUUUCAAACUCACAAAGUUUAAACACUCACCUUAAGAACUAUCUUCAAAGUUCUUAAAUACAUUUAAUACUCUUUUCUGAUUCUUCAUAAAAAUUGCACCCUAUCUGCCCAGUGAAACUAUGCAGUGAAUAGAGCAAUGAAGAAAUGUUUCUUUGGAAGGAAGCGAUAAUGGAAGCACAUUAACAAAUAGAACAAAUGAAAUGAGAAAGAGUAAUACACAGACAUGUUUAUUUAAUGGAAUGAGCCUGCAAGAAAGGAAUAAUUGACAUCAACAUUCAAAUGAAGUUCAGUGCUAAUAGUAGAAAUGUUAUUUUCCAUAGAAAAGUAAGUUGGACUGAGAACGUGGACUCCAAUGGAGGAGUUAGAGAAAGGACUGAAAGGGCUGAAGUCAUUUGCAACCCCAUAGGAAGAACAAAUUAUCAACCACCAGAACCCCAAGAGCUCCCAUGGACUAAACCAUCAACCAAAGAGUAUACAUUGAGGAUGACCCAUGGCUCCAGACACAUAUGUAGCAGAGGAUAUCCUUGUUGUGCAUCCAUGGGAGGAGAGGUCCUUGGUCCUGUGAAGGCUUGA
rnacentral:lncRNA from 1 species